AAGAAGCUUUCAUUUUUAUUUUUACUUUUUUAAAGAUUGCUUAUGGUCUCAUGCAACGCCUAUUUUGUUCUUGGAAGAUAAUGUUAUUCUGAAAUCUGAUGUUUCAUAAUGUCACUUUAUGUUUUGUGUUUUCAAAAUUCUUCUUGUUUUCUAGAAAAAUGAUGAUUCUCAAGGCUUUCGGAAGGUUUCAUUUUGUUUCCCCCAUCUUUCACAAGCAAAGUUCCUGAUUUGUGCAAGCAAACGAUUAGGCCUAUAUUAAGUCUUCUUUUGAAGUUGAAAACUUACUCCACAGCCCAGGGGAAAAAAAUUCUGAAAACUACCUCAUCCUUCACAAUCUAGUCCCUUUAUUUUUCCCCUAAAAUUCUUCUCUUAUUUCUCAGAAAAGUCAUAAUUUUAAGAAUUUUCAGAACGUAUCAUUUUAAUUUUUCUAAAGAUUGGAUAUGAUUUCAUUCAGUGACAAUUUUGAGCUUGAAAGAUAAUGUCCUUUCGAAAACUACCUGGAGCCCCACAAUCCAGAUCCUUUAUUAUUAUUAUUAUUUUU
rnacentral:misc_RNA from 1 species